UACGGGAGGCAGCAGUGGGGAAUAUUGCACAAUGGGCGCAAGCCUGAUGCAGCCAUGCCGCGUGUAUGAAAAAGGCCUUCGGGUUGUAAAGUACUUUCAGUCGUGAGGAAGGUGUUAAGGUUAAUAACCUUAGCAAUUGACGUUAGCGACAGAAGAAGCACCGGCUAACUCCGUGCCAGCAGCCGCGGUAAUACGGAGGGUGCGAGCGUUAAUCGGAAUUACUGGGCGUAAAGGGCACGCAGGCGGUUAAUUAAGUUGGAUGUGAAAUCCCCGGGCUUAACCUGGGAAUGGCAUUCAAGACUGGUUAGCUAGAGUCUUGUAGAGGGGGUAGAAUUCCAUGUGUAGCGGUGAAAUGCGUAGAGAUGUGGAGGAAUACCGGUGGCGAAGGCGGCCCCUGGACAAAACCUGACGCUCAUGUGCGAAAGCGUGGGGAGCAAACAGGGAUUAGAUACC
rnacentral:rRNA from 1 species